rnacentral:rRNA from 1 species
CGGACGAACGCUGGCGGCGUGCUUAAUACAUGCAAGUCGAGCGAGGCCUUGGAAUUGGAGUCCUUCGGGAUGAAGAGUCCUUGGCCUAGCGGCGGACGGGUGAGUAACGCGUGGGCAACCUACCCCAAAGUCCGGGAUAACAGUGGGAAACCGCUGCUAAUACCGGAUGGCUUUACCUGAGGGCAUCCUCGGGUAAAGAAAGGUUACGCUUUGGGAUGGGCCCGCGUCCCAUUAGCUAGUUGGUGAGGUAACGGCUCACCAAGGCCACGAUGGGUAGCCGACCUGAGAGGGUGACCGGCCACACUGGGACUGAGACACGGCCCAGACUCCUACGGGAGGCAGCAGUGGGGAAUAUUGCGCAAUGGGGGGAACCCUGACGCAGCGACGCCGCGUGAGCGACGAAGGCCUUCGGGUCGUAAAGCUCUGUUCUUGGGGACGAAGGAAAUGACGGUACCCAAGGAGAAAGCCCCGGCUAACUACGUG